UUCGUAGUGACCUGCGGAGGAUCAUUAUUG
rnacentral:rRNA from 1 species